AUUGAACGCUGGCGGCAGGCCUAACACAUGCAAGUCGAACGAGUGGCGGACGGGUGAGUAAUGUCUGGGAAACUGCCUGAUGGAGGGGGAUAACUACUGGAAACGGUAGCUAAUACCGCAUACCAUCGGAUGCGCCCAGAUGGGAUUAGGUAGUAGGUGGGGUAACGGCUCACCUAGGCGACGAUCCCUAGCUGGUUUGGGAGGAUAACAUCCCCCCCUGGAACUGAGACACGGUCCAUACUCCUCCUCUCUUCCUCCUUUUUUCUUAUUUCAAUCUUUCCGCAAGCCGGAUUCAGCCAUGCCGCGUGUAUGAAAACCUCCUUCUGAUUUUUACGUACUUUCAGCGGGGAGGCGUUACCCGAAGAAGAAGCACCGGCUAACUCCGUGCCAGCAGCCGCGGUAAUAC
rnacentral:rRNA from 1 species